GAUGAACGCUGACAGAAUGCUUAACACAUGCAAGUCAACUUGAAUUUGGGUUUUUAACUUAGGUUUGGGUGGCGGACGGGUGAGUAACGCGUAAAGAACUUGCCUCACAGCUAGGGACAACAUUUGGAAACGAAUGCUAAUACCUAAUAUUAUGAUAAUAGGGCAUCCUAUAAUUAUGAAAGCUAUAAGCGCUGUGAGAGAGCUUUGCGUCCCAUUAGCUAGUUGGAGAGGUAACGGCUCACCAAGGCGAUGAUGGGUAGCCGGCCUGAGAGGGUGAUCGGCCACAAGGGGACUGAGACACGGCCCUUACUCCUACGGGAGGCAGCAGUGGGGAAUAUUGGACAAUGGACCGAGAGUCUGAUCCAGCAAUUCUGUGUGCACGAUGAAGUUUUUCGGAAUGUAAAGUGCUUUCAGUUGGGAAGAAACAAAUGACGGUACCAACAGAAGAAGUGACGGCUAAAUACGAG
rnacentral:rRNA from 1 species